rnacentral:rRNA from 1 species
AACUUACAAGACCUUUGGUUCUUCGGGAACUCUGAGACAGGUGCUGCAUGNCUGUCGUCAGCUCGUGUUGUGAAAUGUUGGGUUAAGUCCCGCAACGANCGCGCAACCNUUUUCCUUNGUUGCCAGCGGUCCGGCCGGGAACUCAAAGGAGAUGCCAGUGAUAAACUGGAGGAAGGUGGGGAUGACGUCAAGUCAUCAUGGCCCUUACGAGUAGGGCUACACACGUGCUACAAUGGCGCAUACAAAGAGAAGCGAACUCGCGAGAGCAAGCGGACCUCAUAAAGUGCGUCGUAUCCGGAUUGGAGUCUGCAACUCGACUCCAUGAAGUCGGAAUCGCUAGUAAUCGUAGAUCAGAAUGCUACGGUGAAUACGUUCCCCGGUCUUGUA